GAAACGGCUGCUAAUACCGCAUAAGCGCACGGCAUCGCAUGAUGCAGUGUGAAAAACUCCGGUGGUAUAAGAUGGACCCGCGUUGGAUUAGCUAGUUGGUGAGGUAACGGCCCACCAAGGCGACGAUCCAUAGCCGACCUGAGAGGGUGACCGGCCACAUUGGGACUGAGACACGGCCCAAACUCCUACGGGAGGCAGCAGUGGGGAAUAUUGCACAAUGGGCGAAAGCCUGAUGCAGCGACGCCGCGUGAGCGAAGAAGUAUUUCGGUAUGUAAAGCUCUAUCAGCAGGGAAGAUAAUGACGGUACCUGACUAAGAAGCACCGGCUAAAUACGUGCCAGCAGCCGCGGUAAUACGUAUGGUGCAAGCGUUAUCCGGAUUUACUGGGUGUAAAGGGAGCGCAGGCGGUGCGGCAAGUCUGAUGUGAAAGCCCGGGGCUCAACCCCGGUACUGCAUUGGAAACUGUCGUACUAGAGUGUCGGAGGGGUAAGCGGAAUUCCUAGUGUAGCGGUGAAAUGCGUAGAUAUUAGGAGGAACACCAGUGGCGAAGGCGGCUUACUGGACGAUAACUGACGCUGAGGCUCGAAAGCGUGGGGAGCAAACAGGAUUAGAUACCCUGGUAGUCCACGCCGUAAACCAUGAAUGCUAGGUGUUGGGAAGCAUUGCUUCUCGGUGCC
rnacentral:rRNA from 1 species